rnacentral:rRNA from 1 species
GACGAACGCUGGCGGCGUGCUUAACACAUGCAAGUCGAACGCUGAAGCUCAGCUUUUGUUGGGUGGAUGAGUGGCGAACGGGUGAGUAACACGUGAGUAACCUGCCCCCUUCUUUGGGAUAACGCCCGGAAACGGGUGCUAAUACUGGAUAUUCACUGGUCUUCGCAUGGGGGUUGGUGGAAAGGGUUUUUCUGGUGGGGGAUGGGCUCGCGGCCUAUCAGCUUGUUGGUGGGGUGAUGGCCUACCAAGGCUUUGACGGGUAGCCGGCCUGAGAGGGUGACCGGUCACAUUGGGACUGAGAUACGGCCCAGACUCCUACGGGAGGCAGCAGUGGGGAAUAUUGCACAAUGGGCGCAAGCCUGAUGCAGCGACGCCGCGUGAGGGAUGGAGGCCUUCGGGUUGUGAACCUCUUUAGCUCAUGGUCAAGCCGCAACAAUGGUUGUGGUGAGGGUAGUGGGUAAAGAAGCGCCGGCUAACUACGUG